rnacentral:rRNA from 1 species
CCUACGGGAGGCAGCAGUGAGGAAUAUUGGUCAAUGGCCGGAAGGCUGAACCAGCCAUGCCGCGUGAAGGGCAGGGGCCUAUGGGCGUUAAACUUCUUUUGUGCGGGAGCAAGAAUGGUCACGUGUGGCCAGACGAGAGUACCGUACGAAUAAGCAGCGGCUAACUCCGGGCCAGCAGCCGCGGUAAUACGGGGGAUGCAAGCGUUAUCCGGAUUUAUGGGGUUCAAAGGGGGCGGAGGCUGUGAGGUAAGUCAGCGGGGAAAUGCCCCCGCUCAACGGGGUGACGUGCCAUUGAUACUGCCUUGCUGGAUUGCGGAUGCCGUGGGCGGAAUGUGUGGUGUAGCGGU